CUUUUACCAUGAUGCUUCCCAGCUCUGCUUUAACAAAAACAAAUACAAUAACAACGGCUGUGGGGCGGACCGUGGCACUGUUUCCCCUACUGUGGAUUUCAUCUGUAAGGGAACAAUAGUACUUCCACUUCAUGUAGUGGUUAUUGAGAUCCAAGGGUCAUGUGAUCAUGGGGGGGGGGUCAUCAAAAAGACAUCUGAAUUUUCCUUUUCUUUUUUUUAAUCAAAUACCAAAGUUUGACUGUCGAUAUUUGUCUUUCACGGGAUAUUGGAAGCUCUGCGUGGCUAGUCACUGCCCUGCUUUACCUAAAGCACUCUUGUCUUUCUCCAUAUAUAGCCAACCCCAUUAGGUCUAAUGUACAGUAAAUGAUGAACUCUCUCUUCCACUCUGUGGCAACACAUACACUAGAGAAUGGCUAACGCUGCAGCAGCGUUCAUGUGACAGUCGCUGUGCCUGUGGCCUACUUAGCUCGCCGUAGCAUUCUGCACUUCCCCUCUAACUCUCACUCUGGGUUGAAUGAGGCUCCAUGCUUUCUUUCGCUCUCUCUUUUGACGACUGCUCCACUUCCUCAUGGCAGGCCAGGGUCUGGGAUGGGUUCCGGAAUGAGAACGUCUUGUUCUCCCUGGCUGGACAGAAUCAAAGCAAAUGGCAGCUGCCAAGUACAGCUCAUGUGACUGCUGUGUGAAAAUGCAUCCUGCUCCCUACCCAACCCACCCCUCUGCCAGUCAGCUUCACAGCCAACCCUCUCACUCAUUCACUCGCUCUUUCUUUCACCUCUCUUUAUUCAUCUCUCGGUCUCUUUCUCCCUCUCCCUCUCUCUCUCAUCCAAAUUCCAGUAUGCUUAAUUGGUGGGCCCACACAUUUAGACAGCCUUGCCAGCAUUAUUUUAUCAUUUUCACAUAACAUUUACCCACUGACAAAGACCCGAAUGCAACUGCAGUUAUUGUCAGAAUGAUAAAUAACUGAUAUGGAAAUGUAAAAAAGGUUGAAAACCGUUAUUACAUAAGGGACUAGACUAGAGCCAGCUGCUCACCUCAGGGCUAAAACCCUUCCAUUCUAGAACAGUCUAGAUUAGUGUUCAAGAGAGACUUAGAACUGUGUUUGAGCUGUUGCAGCUCUGGCAACAGUAGAGUUUGCUGAGAGCAGGAACAGGGAGGGCUCUGGAUACACAAAUGCCAUGCCACGUUACAGUUAACAUCUUGUUAUCAAACACAGACACACACUCCAACAGACGCACAAUCCAACAGGCGCACACUCCAACAGACGCACACUCCAACAGACGCACACUCCAACAGACGCACACUCCAACAGACGCACACUCCAACAGACGCACACUCCAACAGACGCACACUCCAACAGACGCACACUCCAACAGACGCACACUCCAACAGACGCACACUCCAACAGACGCACACUCCAACAGACGCACACUCCAACAGACACACUCCAACAGACAC
ensembl:lncRNA